rnacentral:rRNA from 1 species
ACGCAAUAGAUACCCAGGUAGUCCACGCCCUUAAACGAUGUCUACUAGUUGUCGGGUCUUAAUUGACUUGGUAAACGCAGCUAAACGCGUGAAGUAGACCGCCUGGGGAGUACGGUCGCAAGAUUAAAACUCAAAGGAAUUGACGGGGACCCGCACAAGCGGUGGAUGAUGUGGAUUAAAUUCGAUGCAACGCGAAAACCUUACCUACCCUUGACAUGGAUGGAAUCCUUGAGAGAUUGAGGAGUGCCCGUAAGGGAACCAUUACACAGGUGCUGCAUGGCUGUCGUCAGCUCGUGUCGUGAGAUGUUGGGUUAAGUCCCGCAACGAGCGCAACCCUUGUCAUUAGUUGCUACGAAAGGGCACUCUAAUGAGACUGCCGGUGACAAACCGGAGGAAGGUGGGGAUGGACGUCAAGUCCUCAUGGCCCUUAUGGGUAGGGCUUCGACACGUCAUACAAUGGUACAUACAGA